UUUUCAUUUUUAGUGGCCGUUACUGACAGGUUUUACUGUAAUUGGUUUGGGGAAUUUUUAAACUGACCGUUAGUACAGGUGGCCGGUGUUUGCAGGGGGCCGGUAACACAGGUUUUACUGUAGUUUAAAUCGAAAAGAUUAAAUCUUAAUUCAAAAUUGUAUAUACAAUUAUUACAAUUAUAAACAAACUAUAUAGUUUAAUAUCCAAAACAUGUUUUUGAUUUUAUGUAAUGUAAUGAAAAUCUUAUUUGUAAAUUAUUGGUUACAAUGUUUAACAAUAGGAAAUAUUCAAGAAUAAAUAAAAUAAAAGUUUAAUCCUAACAACACAAAACAUUCCAGGAAUAUAGGUACUACCGUUCUAUUCCGUGAACAUCUAUCUGAUUAAAUUAUGGGUGGAAAGUUACCACAAGAUAUUCUAUGAACAUAGUACAAUGUCUUGCUGGAGGGGUAAAAUUUUCCAUUACAAGAUUUUAAGAGAGGCCAUUCGCCAUUUACUGUUCAAUUUGCGUUCAUUUUCAAAUUUGCCGCGCGAGUAUCUAUGUAGCGUCGCGUGGUCAUUGGUCAUCACAUUUCAUUUUCAUCAUAGAAGAGUUUUUCAUAAGAUAACCGAUAACCUAAAAAUUUAGUAAAAAUUUUGAUUGGAAAAAAAUGCAUCGAUAAGGGGGUGUGGGAAAUGGAAAUUAGUGGCUUUUCUGCUGUACUGUCUGCUAGUCAAAUCACACAACACUUUUUUCUAUGCUGCUAGUUUUUGCUCUGGGCUCUGGCUGGAUCUCUUGUUUAAACAAUUUUAAUCAGCUGAAAGUGGCCUACAAAAAAAAACCAAGAAGGAAAUGUAUAGCCUUGUGGCUAUGAAAGGCAAAAGAGAGAUAUAAAAAGUGUAUUGGCUAGUUGGAAGAAAGUCCACAUUGUCCAUGCAUAAUAAGUUAUUACUUUAUCAACAAAUAUCAAGAAGAUAGCAGGGUCACGAGCAACAACUUCAUAAGUUCAAGAAUAUCGAGGAAAUCCAGCUCCUCGAUACUACUGGGCAAACUAGAAGAUUGAAGAGGACAAAGCUUUUUGAACUAGUUUGAGUGAUAGGUGAUAGUGAAAAACGGAGCAUAGUGCUUGUGUGCUGUGCCUGUGUAUGUUAGAAUAGUGCACGAUCUUGUUAGAUUAGAUAAGAGACGCUAUGGGGUAAGCUCUUCAUUUUAAGAAACAGUAGUAAUUUAGGUUAAAUUAAAAUUGCUCAUUGGUCAGUUAUGACCAGAUUGUUUUUUUAUGUUUGGCAAAAAGGACUUAAGUCAGAAUUGCACAUUGAUAAUGUUUUGAUGAUUUCUGGACCAGAAAAAAACUGUUGUAGAUGUAAACUGUAUGUACAGUAGAAUCUACUACAGUACUGUAGAAAUCAUCAAAACAUUAUCGAUGUGCAAUUCUGACUUAAGCCCUUUUUCCCAAACAUCAGAGAAUUGUAAUGUACAAUAAUUCUCCUAUCUGCUUUUUCAUGAAUUUUGUAGGAGAUGAAAAACCAUUUUUAGGAUCAUCUGCUUUCACAUGUAAAUUUUGACAUGUUUUGUAGUAAAUAGAUAGUUGAAUUUACUACAAAACAUGUCAAAAAUAUAUGAAAACAGGAGGUGACUAUAAAAAAAGUUUUUAGUCUCUCUUACAAAACUCAUGAAAAAACAAAUCGGAAGUAUGUCACAUCAGUGACUAUAUCCAGGGAAUGUCCAAAUAUAACCUACAGUCCAUCUAAUUUACUUACUGUUGCAGGUCAUUAUCUACGCCAGAGAUCUAAGUUGACAUAGUUGCCAAAGUAUAAAAAGAUCCUGAAUCCAUUUUAAAUCAAAUAUAUCACAUAAUUAUUGUAAACGUGGAUUAUACAACAAAACAAAUUAAUAUUCAAUGUAAAUAAGUAAAAACUUAAGAAAUAGAGAACAAGAAUUAAGUUAUAAUCUUUUAAGAUUUGCAGUGCAAGAGUUUUUGCACUGCAUUGUUAAUAAUUAAAAAACGGCUCCGAACUCUUGGCAAAAAGCUGGUAGGUUUCUUUGUAUAAGUUUGUCUACAAUAACAACUAAAAAAGUUGUUAGAUACCUCGAUUAUUUCAAGUCGUUAUAAAAUUAGGUGAAAUUUAUAUUUUUAUAGUAGAGGAUCUUUUUAUAGUAAAGUAAAUAAUAAAAACAGUAAAUAUAAUAAAUAAAACAGAUACUUAUAGUAAAGAAUAUAAACAAAUAUGAAGUGUCAUCACCGUAACUGUCAAAUAAAUGUUACCAAUUUAUUCUAAAAUGUCACCUUCGUUCGAUUACAGUUACAGUGUGAUCCGAACAAAUCUGCUUCAUAAAAACGCUUUAUAAUCCAUUUAUACAAAUUAAAUGAAACAUAUUAUUGUGUAUUUCUUUAGGUUAACAUUAAUAGAAAUCUUCAAAUAUUAUUUCUACGCGUAUAUAAUAAAAUAUGUCUAGUGGCUGUAAUUCCAUUGUACUCGGCAAA
rnacentral:lncRNA from 1 species